AGGACAACUCCCAUCAUGUUUAUUCACUAUUAACUGUUCCUUGCUUUGCAAAUACACUCAUUGCUUCAAGCUACUAAUUAUAAGGAGGACAACUCCCAUCAUGUUUAUUCACUAUUAACUGUUCCUUGCUUUGCAAAUAUUCUCAGCUACUUGCUUAUUGUUUCUAUUGAAGAUUAUUCUCAUGAACUUAAAGAAUGUUACUUAAUGCAUCUCUGAGGAAAUACUUAAUAAUGAACUUUGUGUUGUUGAUUACUUGC